UUAUAACCUUAUAAAGCUGUCAUACGCACCUAUAAAAGGAAUAAUACACUGACGAAAGUAACUCUAACAAGAUAGAGCUUUUGACCUCACGACAGUUAAGACACAAACUAGGAUUAGAUACCCUACUAUGCUUAACCAUAAAUAGACCUUUACCACUACUUACUUUGUUUAAGUCCGCCUGAGUACUACAAGCGCUAGCUUAAAACCCAAAGGACUUGGCGGUGCCCCAGACCCCCCUAGAGGAGCCUGUUCUAUAACCGAUAAUCCACGUUAAACCUUACCACUUCUUGCUUUUACCGCCUAUAUACCGCCGUCGUCAGCUCACCCCAUGAGGGUAUAAAAGUAAGCACAAUGGACUUCCUCCAAAACGUCAGGUCGAGGUGUAGCGAAUGAAGUGGAAAGAAAUGGGCUACAUUUUCUAUUAAGAAAACACGGACAGUAAAAUGAAAAAUCACUUAUAAGGUGGAUUUAGCAGUAAGAAAAACUUAGGAUAUUUUUCUGAAACCGGCUCUGAGGCGCGCACACACCGCCCGUCACUCUCCUCAACCUAUGUUACUCUAUUUUAUAAAUAAAUUUUUAUCACAAGAGGAGGCAAGUCGUAA
rnacentral:rRNA from 1 species